rnacentral:rRNA from 1 species
UGGGCCUGUCGGACAUCGAUGAGGACGACCGCGAUGCGUCAACGAAUGCUCGUCGGGCUUCGUCCCGACAACGCCCCAACGUCGGUCCCUCCCUCGGGUGGGACGACGGUGGGGACGGAUCACCAAACCCCGGCGCGGACAGCGUCAAGGAACACAAACAUUGGAGUCGGAGGGCCCCUCUGCAUGCUGCAGGAGGCCUCUGUUCCGAUCGUGACCCCAUUGGAUGACUCUCGGCAACGGAUAUCUCGGCUCUUGCAUCGAUGAAGAACGUAGCGAAAUGCGAUACCUGGUGUGAAUUGCAGAAUCCCGUGAACCAUCGAGUCUUUGAACGCAAGUUGCGCCCGAGGCCAUCCGGCCAAGGGCACGCCUGCCUGGGCGUCACGCUUUCGACGCUUCGUCGAUGCCCCCCCUGGGGGGGCGUCGGGCGAAUGCGGAGGAUGGCACCCCGUGCCCAAAGGUGCGGUUGGCCGAAGAGCUUGGCCGUCGGUGCUCGUCGGACACGACGCGUGGUGGAUGCCUUGCGCGAACCGUACGUCGUUCCUUCGGGACCCGAACAAGGCCUCGAGGACCCAAGCCGUGGUGCGAGUCGAUACGAUGCCACGGACCGCGACCCCAGGUCAGGUGGGGCUACCCGCUGAGUUUAAGCAUAUCAAUAAAGCGGAGGAACU